UAUAGAGCUCUGUCAGCAGACAGCUAUAAUUUGUUCCUUCAUUUCUGAUUCAACAAUGCAGGACAC